GAUGAACGCUGGCGGCGUGCCUAAUACAUGCAGGUCGAGCGAACAGACGAGGAGCUUGCUCCUCUGACGUUAGCGGCGGACGGGUGAGUAACACGUGGAUAACCUACCUAUAAGACUGGGAUAACUUCGGGAAACCGGAGCUAAUACCGGAUAAUAUAUUGAACCGCAUGGUUCAAUAGUGAAAUACGGUUUUGCUGUCACUUAUAGAUGGAUCCGCGCCGCAUUAGCUAGUUGGUAAGGUAACGGCUUACCAAGGCGACGAUGCGUAGCCGACCUGAGAGGGUGAUCGGCCACACUGGAACUGAGACACGGUCCAGACUCCUACGGGAGGCAGCAGUAGGGAAUCUUCCGCAAUGGGCGAAAGCCUGACGGAGCAACGCCGCGUGAGUGAUGAAGGUCUUCGGAUCGUAAAACUCUGUUAUUAGGGAAGAACAAAUGUGUAAGUAACUAUGCACGUCUUGACGGUACCUAAUCAGAAAGCCACGGCUAACUACGUG
rnacentral:rRNA from 1 species